UAGAGUUUGAUCCUGGCUCAGAGCGAACGCUGGCGGCAGGCCUAACACAUGCAAGUCGAGCGGCCGUAGCAAUACGGCAGCGGCAGACGGGAGAGUAACACGUGGGAACGCGCCCUUCGGUUCGGAAUAACUCAGGGAAACUUGGGCUAAUACCGGAUACGCCCUUACGGGGAAAGAUUUAUCGCCAUUGGAGGGGCCCGCGUCGGAUUAGCUAGUUGGUGGGGUAACGGCCCACCAAGGCGACGAUCCGUAGCUGGUCUGAGGGGAUGAUCAGCCACACUGGGACUGAGAUACGGCCCAGACUCCUACGGGAGGCAGCAGUAGGGAAUAUUGGACAAUGGGCGAAAGCCUGAUCCAGCAAUGCCGCGUGAGUGAAGAAGGCCUUAGGGUUGUAAAGCUCUUUCGGCGGGGAAGAUGAUGACGGUACCCG
rnacentral:rRNA from 1 species